CUAUACAUGACUCUGCGCAUAUCAAUAAGCGGAGGAAAAGAAACUAACAAGGAUUCCCUUAGUAACGGCGAGUGAAGCGGGAAGAGCUCAAAUUUGAAAUCUUCAAGGUUUUACCUUGACGAAUUGUAGUUUAAAGAAGUGUUUUCUGUUGGAGUUUUGGUAAAAGUUCUUUGGAAUAGGACAUCAUAGAGGGUGAGAAUCCCGUAUUUGACCGUUACUUUCCAGCUGUGUGAUACACUUUCAAAGAGUCGGAUUGUUUGGGAAUGCAGUCCAAGAUGGGUGGUAAAUUUCAUCUAAAGCUAAAUAUUGGCGAGAGACCGAUAGCGAACAAGUACCGUGAGGGAAAGAUGAAAAGAACUUUGAAAAGAGAGUUAAACAGUACGUGAAAUUGUCAAAAGGGAAGCGUUUGACACCAGUGUUGUUUUUCCGAAAAUCAAUUAUGAAUGGCUUGAUUUUAAGUUUCAUGACCUUAAAAGCUUGUUUCUUAUUUUUCAUGUCUUUCGUAAUGCACUUUUCGGUUAACAAGUCAACAUCAAUUUCUUUUGUUGUAAAAGGGUACGAGGAAGGUGGCUUUCUUUUCGGAGAAAGUGUUUAUAGCCUUGUACCUCUGCAAUCGGAGAGAUUGAGGUCUGCAGCGUAGAUCCUUCGGGGUUAGAUACAUUUGUGCUAAGUUGUAGCUUUUCAUAGACAACUUGUUGACUAUGUUAAGUCUUGUAGCUUACUCGCUUAUGCUAUUUUACCUACGCUUAGGAUGUUGAUAGUCACAGCGUGUAC
rnacentral:rRNA from 1 species